CAGUUUCCAUUAGGUUUCAUUUCCUUUCUGUCUGAAGAACAAUGUUUAACAUUUCUCAUACUGGUCAUCACUAGUGAUGACUUCUUUCAGCUUUAAUUUGUCAAAAAAGUAUUUCACCUCUAUUUAUGAAAGCUAUUUUCAAUGGAUAUU